UACGUAGGGUGCAAGCGUUGUCCGGAUUUAUUGGGCGUAAAGAGCUCGUAGGCGGUCUGUCGCGUCGGAUGUGAAAACCCAGGGCUCAACCCUGGGCCUGCAUUCGAUACGGGCAGACUAGAGUAUGGCAGGGGAGACUGGAAUUCCUGGUGUAGCGGUGAAAUGCGCAGAUAUCAGGAGGAACACCAGUGGCGAAGGCGACUACCUGGCCUGUUCUUGACGCUGAGGCGCGAAAGCUAGGGGAGCAAACGGG
rnacentral:rRNA from 1 species